UUACGGCCACAUCACGAUGCAACACCAAUUCCUGUACGACCGCUGAAGUUAAGAAACGUCGAGCCUGGUACCUAGAUUAGUGACCGCUUGGGAAUACCGGGUGCUGCAAG